AACGAACGCUGGCGGCAGGCCUAACACAUGCAAGUCGAGCGAGGACUUCGGUCCUAGCGGCGGACGGGUGAGUAACGCGUGGGAACGUGCCCUUUGCUUCGGAAUAGCCCUGGGAAACUGGGAGUAAUACCGGAUGAGCCCUUUGGGGGAAAGAUUUAUCGGCGAAGGAUCGGCCCGCGUUGGAUUAGGUAGUUGGUGGGGUAAUGGCCUACCAAGCCGACGAUCCAUAGCUGGUUUGAGAGGAUGAUCAGCCACACUGGGACUGAGACACGGCCCAGACGCCUACGGGAGGCAGCAGUGGGGAAUGUGAGACAAUGGGGGAAGCCCUGAUCUAGCCAUGCCGCGUGAACGAUGAAGGCGUUAGGGUUAUAAAGCUCUUUCAGCUGCGAAGAUAAUGACGGUACCAGAAGAAGAAGCCCCGGCUAACUCCGUG
rnacentral:rRNA from 1 species